rnacentral:rRNA from 1 species
UACUCCUACGGGAGGCAGCAGUGGGGAAUUUUGGACAAUGGGCGAAAGCCUGAUCCAGCAAUGCCGCGUGAGUGAAGAAGGCCUUCGGGUUGUAAAGCUCUUUUGUCAGGGAAGAAACGGUGAGGGCUAAUAUCCCUUGCUAAUGACGGUACCUGAAGAAUAAGCACCGGCUAACUACGUGCCAGCAGCCGCGGUAAUACGUAGGGUGCAAGCGUUAAUCGGAAUUACUGGGCGUAAAGCGUGCGCAGGCGGUUUUGUAAGUCUGAUGUGAAAUCCCCGGGCUCAACCUGGGAAUUGCAUUGGAGACUGCAAGGCUAGAAUCUGGCAGAGGGGGGUAGAAUUCCACGUGUAGCAGUGAAAUGCGUAGAUAUGUGGAGGAACACCGAUGGCGAAGGCAGCCCCCUGGGUCAAGAUUGACGCUCAUGCACGAAAGCGUGGGGAGCAAACAGGAUUAGAUACCCUGGUAGUCCACGCCCUAAACGAUGUCUACUAGUUGUCGGGUCUUAAUUGACUUGGUAACGCAGCUAACGCGUGAAGUAGACCGCCUGGGGAGUACGGUCGCAAGAUUAAAACUCAAAGGAAUUGACGGGGACCCCCACAAGCGGUGGAGCAUGUGGA